GCGCGUAAAUUGCCCGAAUCCUGACACAGGGAGGUAGUGACAAGAAAUAACAAUACAGGGCUCUUCGAGUCUUGUAAUUGGAAUGAGUACAAUUUACAUCUCUUCACGAGGAUCAAUUGGAGGGCAAGUCUGGUGCCAGCAGCCGCGGUAAUUCCAGCUCCAAUAGCGUAUAUUAAAGUUGUUGCAGUUAAAACGCUCGUAGUCGGAUUUCGGGGCGGKCCCGCCGGUCUGCCGAUGGGUACGCACUGGCGGGCGCGUCCUUCCUCCCGGAGACGGCCGCUACUCUUAACUGAGCGGUGGUCGGAGACGGGAUGUUUACUUUGAAAAAAUCAGAGUGUUUCAAGCAGGCAGUCGCUCUUGCAUGGAUUAGCAUGGGAUAAUGAAAUAGGACUCUGGUGCUAUUUUGUUGGUUUCGAGCACCGGAGUAAUGAUUAACAGGGACAGUCAGGGGCACUCGUAUUC
rnacentral:rRNA from 1 species